rnacentral:rRNA from 1 species
UACGAAGGGGGCGUAGCGUUAUCCGGAAUUAUUGGGCGUAAAGGGUUCGCUCAGAUUGUUAUUGCUUUUUUAAGUCUAAAUAUUGAAAAAAUUACAAAGCGCUUAAAAUAAACUGUAACUAGAGAGUAAGAGAAGGUAACAGAAUUUCGUACAUAGGAGUAAAAUCCGAAAUUUACGAAGGAAUGCCAGCGGCGAAAGCGGUUUACCUAGAUUAUUUCUGACA